rnacentral:tRNA from 1 species
AAGCCUUAGUAAACUAUUUUACUCCUUAAAAUUUGCAAUUUUAUAUCAAUUUUGAAUAUAAGACU